rnacentral:lncRNA from 1 species
CUUUAAUGCUCUGGUGUGAAAGGAGUGAUCACCUUUGACAUUGAAAGGCCAGCAAACUAAUGAGGAAAAAUCCCAUUUUCCUUCCAACAAUUCCAUUUUCUCUCUCAGAGAGGUUUCAGAGAUCGUAAAGCACUUGGAAAAGACACAUCAAGGUCACACGUGGAGAAGCCACUGAGCUGUAUCACUGAUGUGAUGAAACUGCCAUGCUGAGACCACAGAUUAGCUUUGCUAGGUGUAGACAAGGCAAUUAUAUGCUAUGUAUUACAGAGAUGUUCCAACAAAAUAGAUUUCUGAUGCUCACUCAGUUCAGAC